rnacentral:rRNA from 1 species
UACGGAGGGGGCUAGCGUUGUUCGGAAUUACUGGGCGUAAAGCGCACGUAGGCGGACUUUUAAGUCGGGGGUGAAAUCCCAGGGCUCAACCCUGGAACUGCCUUCGAUACUGGAGGUCUGGAGGUCGAGAGAGGCGAGUGGAAUGCCGAGUGUAGAGGUGAAAUUCGUAGAUAUUCGGCGGAACACCAGUGGCGAAGGCGGCUCGCUGGCUCGAUACUGACGAUGAGGUGCGAAAGCGUGGGGAGCAAACAGG